CAGUAGCCACGGUAAUACAGAGGAUGCAAGCGUUAUCUAGAAUGAUUGGGCGUAAAGCGUCUGUAGAUGGCUUUUCAAGUCCGCCGUCAAAUCCCAGGGCUCAACCCUGGACAGGCGGUGGAAACUACCAAGCUGGAGUACGGUACGGGCAGAGGGAAUUUCCGGCGGAGCGGUGAAAUGCGUUGAGAUCGGAAAGAACACCAACGGCGAAAGCACUCUGCUGGGCCGACACUGACACUGAGAGACGAAAGCUAGGGAGUAAAUGGGAUUAGAUACCCGGGUAGUCCCUGUCUCUUAUACC
rnacentral:rRNA from 1 species